rnacentral:rRNA from 1 species
CAAUAGCGUAUAUUAAAGUUGUUGCGGUUAAAAAGCUCGUAGUUGGAUUUCUGCUGAGGACGAUCGGUCCGCCCUCUGGGUGAGUAUCUGGCUCGGCCUUGGCAUCUUCUUGGAGAACGUUACUGCACUUGACUGUGUGGUGCGGUAUCCAGGACUUUUACUUUGAGGAAAUUAGAGUGUUUCAAGCAGGCGCACGCCUUGAAUACAUUAGCAUGGAAUAAUAAGAUAGGACCUUGGUUCUAUUUUGUUGGUUUCUAGAGCUGAGGUAAUGAUUAAUAGGGAUAGUUGGGGGCAUUCGUAUUUAACUGUCAGAGGUGAAAUUCUUGGAUUUGUUAAAGACGGACCACUGCGAAAGCAUUUGCCAAGGAUGUUUUCAUUGA